rnacentral:rRNA from 1 species
UACAGAGGGUGCGAGCGUUGUCCGGAAUCACUGGGCGUAAAGGGCGCGUAGGUGGCACGACAAGUCAGUGGUGAAAGCUCGACGCUCAACGUCGAGUCGGCCACUGAUACUGUUGGGCUGGAGCACUGUAGAGGCAGAUGGAAUUCCGGGUGUAGCGGUGGAAUGCGUAGAGAUCCGGAAGAACACCGGUGGCGAAGGCGGUCUGCUGGGCAGUUGCUGACACUGAGGCGCGACAGCGUGGGGAGCAAACAGGG